UCCAUUCACCAGGGGGGUCCCGGCAAGGGGCUGAGAUACUGCUAGAGCGCGCAGUGACCCGUUGAACCUGAUCCAGUUCAUACUGGCGUAGGGACGGUGCGGACGUUUGAUG
rfam:Sinorhizobium fredii NGR234 plasmid pNGR234b, complete sequence.